rnacentral:rRNA from 1 species
CCCUUAGAUGUUCUGGGCCGCACGCGUGCUACACUGAACGGUUCAAUGGGUAAGGUAGUGCGAAAGCAUGACCUAAUCUCGAAAUCCGUUCGGGCUGGGGAUAGAAGCUUGCAAUUAUCCUUCUUGAACGAGGAAUACCUUGUAAGCGUGAGUCAUCAUCUCACGCUGAAUACGUCCCUGCCCUUUGUACACACCGCCCGUCGCUCCUACCGAUUGAGUGUUCCGGUGAGGCUUUGGGAGAAUGGCCUCAACAUGAGUUUAUCGUGUUUUGCCGUUUGAACUUAGUCAAACCUUAUCACUUAGAGGAAGGAGAAGUCGUAACA